AGAGUUUGAUCAUGGCUCAGAACGAACGCUGGCGGCGUGCCUAACACAUGCAAGUCGAACGAAGGUAGCAAUACCUUAGUGGCGCACGGGUGAGUAACGCGUGGGAAUCUGCCCAAUAGUGGGGGAUAACAGUUGGAAACGACUGCUAAUACCGCAUACGCCCGAGAGGGGAAAGAUUUAUCGCUAUUGGAUGAGCCCGCGUGAGAUUAGGUAGUUGGUGGGGUAAUGGCCUACCAAGCCUACGAUCUCUAGCUGGUCUGAGAGGACGAUCAGCCACACUGGGACUGAGACACGGCCCAGACUCCUACGGGAGGCAGCAGUGGGGAAUUUUGGACAAUGGGCGAAAGCCUGAUCCAGCGACGCCGCGUGGACGAUGAAGGCCUUCGGGUUGUAAAGUCCUUUUGGCAGAGAAGAUAAUGACGGUACCUGCAGAAUAAGCCCCGGCUAACUCUGUGCCAGCAGCCGCGGUAAUUC
rnacentral:rRNA from 1 species